rnacentral:rRNA from 1 species
CCCUACUGCUAUCGGGGUGGGACUAAGACAUGCGAGUCGAGCGUCUCCAGCUAUGGUGAGACGCGGCAGACGGCUCAGUAACACGUGGCUAACCUACCCUCAGGACAGGGACAAACCCGGGAAACUGGGGCUAAUACCCGAUAGGCGAGGGCGCCUGGAAUGGUUCUUCACCCAAAGGGCUUUGGAAGCAUGCUUUUCAAAGUCGCCUGGGGAUGGGGCCGCGUCCGAUCAGGUUGUUGGUGAGGUAACGGCUCACCAAGCCUAUAACCGGUACGGGCCGUGAGAGCGGUAGCCCGGAGAUGGGCACUGAGACAAGGGCCCAGGCCCUACGGGGCGCAGCAGUCGCGAAAACUCCGCAAUGCACGAAAGUGUGACGGGGCUACCCCGAGUGCCGUCCGCUGAGGAUGGCUUUUCCUUGGUGUAACUAGCCGGGGGAAUAAGGAGAGGGCAAGACUGGUGUCAGCCGCCGCGGUAAUACCAGCUCUCCGAGUGGUAGGGAUGAUUAUUGGGCUUAAAGCGUCCGUAGCCGGCUUAGCAAGUCUCCUGUUAAAUUCAGCGACCUAAUCGUUGAGCCGCGGGAGAUACUACUAGGCUAGGAGGCGGGAGAGGCCGACGGUACUUCCGGGGUAGGGGUGAAAUCCUAUAAUCCCGGGCGGACCACCAGUGGCGAAGGCUGUCGGCUAGAACGCGCUCGACGGUGAGGGACGAAAGCUGGGGGAGCGAACCGGAUUAGAUACCCGGGUAGUCCCAGCCGUAAACGAUGCGGGCUAGGUGUUGGGGUGGCUACGUGCCACUUCAGUGCCGCAGGGAAGCCAUUAAGCCCGCCGCCUGGGGAGUACGGCCGCAAGGCUGAAACUUAAAGGAAUUGGCGGGGGAGCACCACAAGGCGUGAAGCUUGCGGUUC